GGAAACAGGUGCUAAUACCGCAUAACCAUGAACACCGCAUGAUGUUCAUGCAAAAGACGGCUUUUGCUGUCACUUUUGGAUGGGCCUGCGGCGUAUUAACUUGUUGGUGGGGUAACGGCCUACCAAGGUGAUGAUACGUAGCCGAACUGAGAGGUUGAUCGGCCACAUUGGGACUGAGACACGGCCCAAACUCCUACGGGAGGCAGCAGUAGGGAAUCUUCCACAAUGGACGAAAGUCUGAUGGAGCAACGCCGCGUGAAUGAAGAAGGCCUUCGGGUCGUAAAAUUUUGUUGUCAGAGAAGAACGUGCGUGAGAGUAACUGUUCACGUAUUGACGGUAUCUGACCAGAAAGCCACGGCUAACUACGUGCCAGCAGCCGCGGUAAU
rnacentral:rRNA from 1 species